AGGGCCUGCAGGUAUAGGGGGAUCCUGCAAGCAGAAAUCUGUGGUGGGCGGGCGGCAGGUGAGCAAGGAGAACGUGUCUGUAAAGGAAGCACAGGGAACAGGUGGUGGCUUUGUAAGACAGUUGGAACCCAAGGAAGGCAGGCCAUCCCCCAGGAAAGCCUAUGUUGGUGAGGGUUAUGAUGGGAGAAUGAGUGAACUGCAGCCUGGCACCACCACACCCUGGAAGGUGCAGUUGGGAAGAAAGUUUCUGAGGCUGUAGACAUGGGGAUCGGAUGCUGGAGAAACCCCCUGCUGCUGCUGAUUGCCCUGGUCCUGUCAGCCAAGCUGGGUCACUUCCAAAGGUGGGAGGGCUUCCAGCAGAAGCUCAUGAGCAAGAAGAACAUGAAUUCAACACUCAACUUCUUCAUUCAAUCCUACAACAAUGCCAGCAACGACACCUACUUAUAUCGAGUCCAGAGGCUAAUUCGAAGUCAGAUGCAGAUGGAGUUUCGCUCUUGUUGCCCACGCUGGAGUGCAAUGGCAUGAUCUUGGCUCACUGCAACCUCCUCCUCCCAGGUUCAAGUGAUUCUCCUGCCUCAGCCUCCCAAGUAGCUGAGAUUACAGCUGACGACGGGAGUGGAGUAUAUAGUCACUGUGAAGAUUGGCUGGACCAAAUGCAAGAGGAAUGACACGAGCAAUUCUUCCUGCCCCCUGCAAAGCAAGAAGCUGAGAAAGGUUGUUCAUGGAAUAGACAUAUUUACUACAUGUCUCCGGCAGAAUUGCUGUAACACUAGGAAUAGUAUAUCUUUCAUGUCUCAUGAAAACUGUUCUCCUGGCCAAAUUGAACGAAUGCAGCUCUCUGGACUCAGAGAGGAUUGAAUGGGCAAUUAAUCAGGAGGGUGCCAGUCUCCCAGGAGAACCAGCAAAUAUCACUGAAUUACGCUGCUCAUAUUCCUGGACUCUGCUGAAGAACAAUCUCCUCCAGGAAGCGCCUUCUGAUUGCCUGGCCCACCUUCUGCCCAGGCUAACACGGAUGCCACUGCUAUCUGGCCACACUUCUAUCAAAACAUGCAAGCUGUUCUCCUUCCACUGCUCUUCAGCUCUGCCUCUGGAACCUCACUUUGAAUCCCUUGGGACAACAAAGUCAGACUGGCUGGACUCACAUCUGGCUCCACCAUUGACCAGCUGGGUGGCUGUGGGCAAAUUACUUACAUUCAACGUGCCUCAGUCUUCUCACCUGCAAAAUGGAAAUUGCCACAGCCAACCCAACCUUCAGCAACCACCAGUCUGAUCAGUCAGCAACCAUCAACAUCAAGGCAAGACCCUCCAUCAGCAAAAGGAUUAUGACUCACUGAAGGCACAGAUUGUUAGCAUUUUUAGCAGUAAAUCAUUUUUAAUUAAGGU